AAAUCAGCCCUUUUAAGGGCUACCAACAGUAUGAGUAAAGAGUUAU
rfam:Culex pipiens quinquefasciatus supercont3.273 genomic scaffold, whole genome shotgun sequence.